rnacentral:rRNA from 1 species
GAUGAACGCUGGCGGCGUGCUUAACACAUGCAAGUCGAACGAUGAAGCCCAGCUUGCUGGGUGGAUUAGUGGCGAACGGGUGAGUAACACGUGAGUAACCUGCCCUUAACUCUGGGAUAAGCCUGGGAAACUGGGUCUAAACCGGAUAGGAGCGUCCACCGCAUGGUGGGUGUUGGAAAGAUUUAUCGGUUUUGGAUGGACUCGCGGCCUAUCAGCUUGUUGGUGAGGUAAUGGCUCACCAAGGCGACGACGGGUAGCCGGCCUGAGAGGGUGACCGGCCACACUGGGACUGAGACACGGCCCAGCCUCCUACGGGAGGCAGCAGUGGGGAAUAUUGCACAAUGGGCGAAAGCCUGAUGCAGCGACGCCGCGUGAGGGAUGACGGCCUUCGGGUUGUAAACCUCUUUCAGUAGGGAAGAAGCGAAAGUGACGGUACCUGCAGAAGAAGCACCGGCUAACUACGUG